AGAUCUAGGAUCUGCCACGUUGCAUGGUUUGCACCGCUGAUUGCUUUGCUUGAUGUUAGUUGUUGCGGUCAAUCUCCUAUUGCAUCUAUCGUUGGAGAAAAAUAUCUGCAAAAAAAAAUUUAUAUUGAUCGAAAUUAUGUCUGGUGGAGAUCCUUCAAUGUUUAAGUCAGUAAAGAGUGAUGAACAACAGAUAGAAUAUUCAAAGCAGCAGAGUAUCAGCUCAAAAAAGUAUCUUACCUAAAUAUUGUUCAUUUACCUCCUUUAUAGACAAGUUAUUGAUAACCUUUUGUAACGGUUAGAGACGUGGGUCUCACUUAUUCUGAUACUAUGUGAUCGUAGGAUGGGCG
rnacentral:lncRNA from 1 species